GUAAGGUGGGGUCAUGAGCUGAGGGUGUCAUGGCACUCUAUCACAUGUCCCUUGAAAAGAUCUGCGACUCAGGCCAUCUGCAGCCCUCACAGGGACCUCCGCAAGUUCAGGGUAGCGCGUUCCCAGAGAAUGGGCUUCCACAUAAGGACAGAAUGGGCAGGAGAUGCCAUGGAGCCUACCUUGGGUCCUUCCAUACGAAAGGGCCCUAGCAAAUGUCCUGUGGCCAGAGCUUAUUACAGACUCACAGCAGCGAUGUGAGCAGUGGUUGAAGUGAGGUUCCCCAUGUGGGGAGAAGGGGCAUAAAAGGAAAGGAAAUAAAGAGGGGGGCAGAGAAAUAGCUCCACCUGAGUUUGUCCCCAGAACUGCAUGAUUCC
rnacentral:RNase_P_RNA from 1 species